rnacentral:rRNA from 1 species
GAGUAACGCGUAUGGAACCUACCUGAAACAGGGGGAUAGCUUCCGGAAACGGGGAUUAAUACCCCAUACGAUUCAUUUGUGGCCUCACAAAUGGAUAAAAGCUACGGCGGUUUCAGAUGGUCAUGCGUACCAUUAGUUAGUUGGUGAGGUAAAGGCUCACCAAGGCGAUGAUGUUAGGGGUCCUGAGAGGGUAGUCCCCCACACUGGUACUGAGACACGGACCAGACUCCUACGGGAGGCAGCAGUGAGGAAUAUUGGUCAAUGGGCGCUAGCCUGAACCAGCCAUGCCGCGUGCAGGAAGACGGCCCUACGGGUUGUAAACUGCUUUUCUGCAGGAAGAAUAUAUAGUCUUAGGGCUAUAUUGACGGUACUGCAGGAAUAAGCAUCGGCUAACUCCGUGCCAGCAGCCGCGGUAAUACGGAGGAUGCAAGCGUUAUCCGGAUUCAUUGGGUUUAAAGGGUGCGCAGGCUGUAAAGCAAGUCAGUGGUGAAAGCCCUGGGCUUAACUCAGGGAUUGCCAUUGAAACUGUUUUACUAGAGUGUAGUAGAGGACGGCGGAAUGAGUUGUGUAGCGGUGAAAUGCAUAGAUAUAACUCAGAACACCUAUUGCGUAGGCAGCUGUCUAUACUACAACUGACGCUGAGGCACGAAAGCGUGGGGAGCGAACAGGAUUAGAUACCCUGGUAGUCCACGCUGUAAACGAUGAUCACUCGUUGUUGGCUACUUAGUAGUCAGUGACCAAGGGAAACCGAUAAGUGAUCCACCUGGGGAGUACGUCGGCAACGAUGAAACUCAAAGGAAUUGACGGGGGCCCGCACAAGCGGAGGAACAUGUGGUUUAAUUCGAUGAUACGCGAGGAACCUUACCUGGGCUUAAAUGCUGGCUGCAUUGGAGGGAAACCUUCAUUUCCUACGGGACCGCCAGCAAGGUGCUGCAUGGUUGUCGUCAGCUCGUGCCGUGAGGUGUCGGGUUAAGUCCCAUAACGAGCGCAACCCCUAUCGCUAGUUGCCAGCAUGUAAUGGUGGGGACUCUAGCGAGACUGCCGGUGUAAACCGGAGGAAGGUGGGGAUGACGUCAAAUCAGCACGGCCCUUACGUCCAGGGCUACACACGUGUUACAAUGGCCGGUACAAAGAGCAGCCACCUGGCGACAGGGCGCUAAUCUCUAAAACCGGUCUCAGUUCGGAUCGAAGUCUGCAAUUCGACUUCGUGAAGGUGGAUUCGCUAGUAAUCGCGCAUCAGCCAUGGCGCGGUGAAUAAGUUCCCGGGCCUGUACACACCGCCCGUCAAGCCAUGGAAGUCGGGGGUACCUGAAGUCCGUAACC